CAGUCGCCGCGGUAAUACGUAGGGUGCAAGCGUUAAUCGGAAUUACUGGGCGUAAAGCGUGCGCAGGCGGUUCGUUAAGACAGAUGUGAAAUCCCCGGGCUUAACCUGGGAACUGCAUUUGUGACUGGCGGGCUAGAGUAUGGCAGAGGGGGGUAGAAUUCCACGUGUAGCAGUGAAAUGCGUAGAGAUGUGGAGGAAUACCGAUGGCGAAGGCAGCCCCCUGGGCCAAUACUGACGCUCAUGCACGAAAGCGUGGGGAGCAAACAGGAUUAGAUACCCGCGUAGUCCCUGUCUCUUAUAC
rnacentral:rRNA from 1 species